UGGGUUAACCAAAAAGUUCGUUCAGGUUUUUCCAUAACACGAAAAACCCAAACGAACUUUUUGGCCCACCCAAU
rnacentral:miRNA from 1 species